UAUACAUGCAAGUCGAGCGAACAGAGAAGGAGCUUGCUCNUUUGACGUUAGCGGCGGACGGGUGAGUAACACGUGGGCAACCUACCCUAUAGUUUGGGAUAACUCCGGGAAACCGGGGCUAAUACCGAAUAAUCUAUGUCACCUCAUGGUGACAUACUGAAAGACGGUUUCGGCUGUCGCUAUAGGAUGGGCCCGCGGCGCAUUAGCUAGUUGGUGAGGUAAUGGCUCACCAAGGCGACGAUGCGUAGCNNACCUGAGAGGGUGAUCGGCCACACUGGGACUGAGACACGGCCCAGACUCCUACGGGAGGCAGCAGUAGGGAUCUUCCACAAUGGGCGAA
rnacentral:rRNA from 1 species